CUCAUCGAUCCUCAUCGAAAAUUUUGUCGGUAUUACACCGAUUUUUCGAUUUAAUUUUACUAUACUUUUACGGGUUUCUCGAUGAACUGUUGACAAGAAAUGCGAAGUGCGUGUGAAAACCGCGAGAGGCGUUAGUUGCUCUUGACAUUUCGAGCUGAAAAGGUGCAUUCUGUGUUGCUCCGUGUUUUCCACCAAUUUUCAUGAAAAUCAUCAUCAAAGUCCGGAAAAAAGGUGGAAGGUGUUUCCAGGAGGGUCUUAUCUGUCACUUCAAGGGACUCACGGAGCAAGCCCCAUCUCAACUUAAAGAUUCCAGGAGAGAACAUCAUCUCAGAAUUCUAAGCUCACACAACACACCUUCACACAUGUACACAUUGUGUUGUUAAUAAAUCAAUUUGAAUUGAAA